CCUAGUGUUUAUACUUAUUUUAUUCUUGUAUAACAAUGUUCGUAAUUUGAUUUUGUAUUUUUGUCUGCGAAUGCAAUUUAUAGUAUCGCUGUUAUUACGUUUGAAGAAUUAAAGUGGUUGGACGUGACUGCGAUGAUCGUUGGAUCGGAGGUGAUCAAUCUACCGGUUUCAAUCCGAAUGAAGGUAUAUACUGUUUCAGUUCGAAGGGAGAUGACUACGGUUGAAAAUAGCCGUCUCAUGUCUGGUGGCGUAAUGCGCACCUGCAUUCUGAAUAUGGCACGGUGAGGUUUCGCCGGAAGAAUCGGUGAUGUUUACGCGUAUUGUUGCAUUAUAAUUCGAAUUAAUAAUCGAGUUAAUUUAUUUAAGCAAGACUCUUUCGAAAAUGCCACACAAGAAUAAUAUUACAGACCGAACGUAUUAAAGCUGCAGACACUCAUCACGGUUCGCUCGAGCCGACGAAAAAAUCAAUUACUAUUUUCGUUAUAUAAUCAAUAUUACGUAACACUAUUUUUCAUAGAAUUCGUGAUUUAAA